rnacentral:rRNA from 1 species
ACGAACGCUGGCGGCGCGCCUAACACAUGCAAGUCGAACGAGCGAGAGAGAGCUUGCUUUCUUGAGCGAGUGGCGAACGGGUGAGUAACGCGUGAGGAACCUGCCUCAAAGAGGGGGACAACAGUUGGAAACGACUGCUAAUACCGCAUAAGCCCACGGUGCCGCAUGGCACAGAGGGAAAAGGAGCAAUCCGCUUUGAGAUGGCCUCGCGUCCGAUUAGCUAGUUGGUGAGGUAACGGCCCACCAAGGCGACGAUCGGUAGCCGGACUGAGAGGUUGAACGGCCACAUUGGGACUGAGACACGGCCCAGACUCCUACGGGAGGCAGCAGUGGGGAAUAUUGCACAAUGGGGGAAACCCUGAUGCAGCGACGCCGCGUGGAGGAAGAAGGUCUUCGGAUUGUAAACUCCUGUUGUUGGGGAAGAUAAUGACGGUACCCAAAAAGGAAGUGACGGCUAACUACGUG